rnacentral:lncRNA from 1 species
AAGUAACAGAAGACAGAGGUCCUAGAGGAGAGAGAGAGGAAAGUGUAAGCAGCAGACGGAGUUCACCUUCCUCUUCUCCGCUUCAGAACUUCCCACUACAUGGCAGUCUUCAUACAGCCGGGUCAAGAGAAACACACCUGGGGAUCUGGGACACAACGAGAGAAGGAACACAAGCAGCGGGAGUGAGAGAGGGAGAAGCAGGCUUCCCACUGAGCAGGGAACACGAUGCGGGUCUCGAUCCCUGGACCCCAGGAUCAUGACCUGAGGCAAAGGCAGAUGCCCAACCAACUGAACCAACCAGGCACUCCCAAACUCAGGAGUUUUAUUUACCACCACCACCCCUGGCAUCAAACACCAGUGCUCAUCUCUACAGGAAAAUCUAUCUUCAUCUUUGAUACCAUGGAUGAGGCAAAGGUAGCAGCAAGUGCAUCGUCGGAUUUGGCCCCUGGGCGCCAGUUCGCCAACCACUGUCACAGACAGGGAGAGCGGGAGAGAGAAUGCGGACGGCAGAGACUCAUCACCGUGAGCCAGCUUACACCCUGGGAACCGUCCUGUCCGAGGGCCUCAUGACAAGAAACUGAUGGCUUCAGCCAACACCGACAAGAUCUGAGCCACAGGAGGGAGCCAGGACAUGCUGUCUUGUCCCGCGCAGUCUGGAGAAGACUACUGCCCCAGCUGACACUUCGAUGCGGACUUGUCAGAGGAUCUGAGCUCCGGGCUGAGCUGCGACUGGAUUUCUGCCUCACAGGAAAACCCUGAGACAAUAAAUGUGCAUUGUUUUAUUGUGCUCAAUUUUAAGCUAAUGUGUUACAGUGCAACAGAUAACUACCACAAUUGUGUUAGAUGAUUUAGAUACAAUCUUGCAUUUAAUCUUCACAAUAAACCUAGAGCAUACAGUUUACUGUCAACUUUAUGGACAAAAAAAUAAAGCCCCAGGAGAUUCUGUAA